rnacentral:rRNA from 1 species
GAGUUUGAUCAUGGCUCAGAUUGAACGCUGGCGGCAUGCCUUACACAUGCAAGUCGAACGGCAGCACGGGAGCUUGCUCCUGGUGGCGAGUGGCGAACGGGUGAGUAAUGCAUCGGAACGUAUCCUGGAGUGGGGGAUAACGUAGCGAAGUUACGCUAAUACCGCAUAUUCUGUGAGCAGGAAAGCGGGGGACCUUCGGGCCUCGCGCUCUUGGAGCGGCCGAUGUCGGAUUAGCUAGUUGGUGAGGUAAAGGCUCGACCAAGGCGACGAUCCGUAGCAGGUCUGAGAGGAUGAUCUGCCACACUGGAACUGAGACACGGUCCAGACUCCUACGGGAGGCAGCAGUGGGGAAUUUUGGACAAUGGGGGCAACCCUGAUCCAGCCAUGCCGCGUGAGUGAAGAAGGCCU